UUGAUAUACCUGUAUAUACAGGUAUGUUGUUGUUGAAAUACCUGUAUAUACAGGUAUGUUGUUGUUGAUAUACCUUUAUAUACAGGUAUGUUGUUGUUGAUAUACCUCUAUCUAUAUAAGUCGUUUAAAAUCUAAAAUAUUUGGACAAUCUGGUUGGUAUUAAAAAUGGGUUCCUGCGUACAAACUGGGUGAUUUAAUGGUAUAUAUGGACUAAAAACAUAUUCAAACUAAUUAACAUGUCAUAAUUAUGCUUCAAAUCCUUCUCAAACAUUGUAAUUGCGAAGGAAUGCCCUGCUAUUAAAAUUCGAUCAAACCAGGUCAUGUUUCCGUCACGUCUUGGGAGUUAGAGGAGAAAUCAUUGCAUACAUCGCUUACUAUUUAUUACAAAUAUCGAAUCCUAAUUAAAUUCUCAGAUUAUCCACUACCCGCGUCUUUUUCCGUCAUUUUUAUCUCAGAAAGUGUUGUACAUCUAACUCUUCAUAAAGUUUAUCAACUUGUACAUCAAGCGCUCAAUGUUCACGUGUGACCGUUGACAUCAUGCGUGCAGAACUUCCUAAUCGUCGGGCUGUUGAUUAGGGGAACCCUUACAUUUUUGUCCUGUAUACGCUCCAGGAGGGUUUUUUGGGGAAUCCAGUAUUUUUCUAGUAAUAUUGGAUAUCUCUACUUUCCAUAUAUACCAAAAUUGCCAUACUUUUAUUGGAAACAACCACCCGACAAAUACUUUUCUGGGAACCCAUCUCUAAGUUUGCUCCAUUAAACUGGAUAGGCUUUAUGGAAAUGAGGUCAGGGAAGCAGCCAAAUGUUUAGUGAAUCUUGUUGAAUCAGUUUUUGUUAAACAGGUUGCUUCUAAAACCUUCUCCAAAUUGGCUGCACACGCACUAUGUGCAGUUCCAUGCAAGCUUAGCAGGUGUGAUCUAUGAGGAUCCGCACAAUAAUUGUUAUGAGUUUGAAAUCUUGGAAAGUAGGGUUGGGUCCCGAACAAAUUUUACAAUGCAUGAGGUUGGACAGGCGACCAUACUCCUUGUCACGUACAAGCAGGGAAUCGAAACCACGCCCCUUUACCCAAUGACAGACCUUAUGAUGUAACGCGCACACGUUAACCACUCGGCUACCGGACCCCCUAUGUAAAAUGGAAUAUAAAAUAGAAAUUUCUAUUAUUUAAUAGGAGAAAAAGUAGAUAAGAGGGCGAAGUCAAUUAUCCGACCAAUUAAGUCUACUGCCCAGAGCAGACCUGAUCCUGAAUCUGAACGAGGAAGUUGUAAUGCUUCUUCAUGUUUUAAUCCAAUUAUUGACAGAGGAUACAGAGAUUUAGGAAAACCAGAAGAUGAUGAAGAUUAUCCUGCUUCCAACGCUGAACAAGAUAUUUUUUGUUUCGACAAAUUUGGUGGCAGUGAAACAGCGAGGACAGACACAGCAGGAUCUUCAAAUGUUGAAGUCGAAGAUAGCUGUACAUUUAAAGCCCAACCAAGCUCUUCAUCUGAAGCCAUUCCAGGCACAUCAUCUGAAGUCAUUCCAGGCUCAUCAUCUGAAGUCAUUCCAGGCUCAUCAUCUGAAACCAUUCCAGGCACAUCAUCUGAAACCAUUCCAGGCACAUCAUCUGUAGUUAUCCCAAGUCGUUCAUUUACUAAAUCUAAAUACCAGUCCAAUCAACAUAAAGCUAAGCAUAAACUAUUCGCUGUACAAAAAUGUGAAAUAGGAAAAGAACGCUUUCAACGACUGGUGAAAAAAGAACUCUUUCAAAAUAAGGAAAUUAAAGAGAAACUAAAAAAAGAAAUUAAAAGAAGCAUGAAUAGUGAAGAUGGGAAGAAUCGAGUUUCUGCACCAAAUAUUCCUAAUUUGAAUAUUAUAAUACAAAGUAGAUCUGAAGAUAAAACUGUACCAAAAUAUGAAACGGGAAAAGAACACUUUCAACGACUAUUAUAUAAAAAAGAAAUUAAAGAGAAACUAAAAGAGAAAAUUAAAGGAAGAAUGAAAAGUGAAGAAGAAUAUAAUCGUGUUUCUGCACCAAAUAUUCCUAAUUUUGAGCAUUUAAUACCAUGGCAUUCCCCGUAGCCAAGGCAACAUGACUGGUCUGGAACACAAGAGAGAAAAGUUCCUUUUAUGGAGAAAGACAUAAUUUGUGUUUCCCUCUCAAACUUUUAUACAGAAGCCAUCUUAUUCCUAUGUACUAACGUGAAAACCUUAUUAUAUCUUGUCACAUUUCUAAACAAACAUAAUCAAAUUUUUAAUGUUGCUUUUGUUUAUAUUAGCGUGUAGAAACCUACAGUUGUCAACAGUACCGGAUUUAGGGCCCGGGGCGCAACGUGGCACACAAAUGUUCCAGCCCCCCCCCGCCCUCAUUUUGGGUUGAGUACAAGAUCAAAAGUUCCAUUACACCAGAAUGCAAGGAGUCAAAUCUAAUUGUCGAUAUUUUUUGGAGAGCGGUAGAGGGCCACCCCCUCAUCUUGGGCUACGCACCACAAUGGACCUACGCUUCUUUCUUAAUCUGGCCGUGGCCUGGUCAACACUCAGCAGAGUAACAACAAACUAUCUGUCAUUAAUAACACUAACACAAUAUGUAACCACAAGACAAAUUAUUAUAUCUCAAGUAUUUAUAAAGAAUUGGUACCUAAAAAUGUUUCUUUAAUAAGUCAACUGGCGUGGUUUCGAAUCCCAGGUUCUACGUGACAAGGAGUAGGGUCGUCUGUCCAGCCUCGUGGGUUUUGUCCAGGUGCUCCGGUUUCCGCCCACUGCUAAAGACCACUUACGCGCAAGCGAAUUAUUGAAAAAAAUAAACCAUAUGUUAGUCCCAAAAUGACCUAGUUUGUGUCGAGUGAACGUUAAAUCUCAUUUCUCUCCCUGACUCUUUCUAUUUAAAUAUCCAUUUAAAUAUCUAUUAACCUAUUCUGUAUAAAUAUCUAUUAACCUAUUCUGUAUAAAUAUCUAUUAACCUCUUCUAUAUAAAUAUCUAUUAACCUCUUCUGUAUAAAUAUCUAUUAACCUCUUCUGUAUAAAUAUCCAUUAACCUAUUCUAUAUAAAUUUUUAUUUUAAUCAAAAUCCAAAGUCUAUACUUACACAUAUUUGUUUAUUUUUCAUAAUUAUAUUUUUUGAUGUCCAAUAGACAUUUUAUAAAUUAACAUCAGACAGCUUCCUACUAAUUAUAUUGACAAUAAUGAAAAAUGACAUAUUUUUAAAAAUUGUAAAUAUUUGAAUUAUUUUGGACGUAUACAAAUAUUAUCAACAUUUAGAUAUUGCUCAUAUAUAUAUAUAUAUAUAUAUUUAUAUAUAUAUAUAUUUAUACAGGACCAAUGUCUAGUUCCAAAAAAAUAUACUGGACCUAUGUCUGUUUCAGGACGAAUGUCUAGUCAGUUCAUAUAAGUAUAUUGGACCAAUGUCUUGUUCAUAAAAAUAUAAUGGACCAAUGUCUAGUUCAUUUAGAUAUACAAGACCAAUGUCUAGUGUUCAUUUAGAUAUACAAGACCAAUGUCUACAAUCUGUUUCACAGAGAAUUACGAGUCUCGUAUAAUAUCUCUGUCAUAGAUGACUGCCUUAACACGUGCUGUCACAGCACGCGGUGUGAAUCAUUGGCUGAAUGGUGCGUGCAUUGUUUACAUAAGACAUAACUGCUUCGGAGAGAAUGCUGCAUUUUAGUCAAUUUAAUACCCAUUUACACUAAAUCGGAAAUAAUUUUUACCUACAAAUACGUCAAACGCCUUUAUUUAUUUUUCCAAUAUAUACAAAAAAUGUUUUAGAAUUUAAUUUGUCGCAGGAAAAAAGUUAAUAUUUCUAGCUCAUUAAGCCGCAUCAAUGUCAUCCUUAUCAGUGAUUGUCGCGGCCAAGCAAAUAUUCACUGCGGAUCAGUGUGCAAUGUCUAGUGUUUAUUAAGAUAUACAGGACCAAUGUCUAGUGUUUAUUUAGAUACAUAGUAUCUGAGUAUAAUUCAAAAAAGUUUGGGGAGAUAACUCUAACUAUUUUGGAAACCACUGCUUUAUUUUAUGGACUAAGACUAGUAAUUAUUUCCCCUUAUUUCAUGAUGGACGAAUGUAGUGCGAGUUAUAAAUAGACAAUUUUUCCCUUAAUUUUUUUCUCCCCUCUUCCUGCAUUUUUGGGUUGACUUUUUGGUCUAGAAUCGGAGAAAAGGGAUCAAAUUUGCAAUUUCAUAGCAGUUUUGGGUAAUACUGAUGAUAUUACAGCGGAGGCAUAGGGAGUGUAAAGUGUCUUUCUGCAGAGCAAUCAUUGUGUCGGAAGUGAGAUUUUCACCCCUGUCAACUUCAAAUCUGUGUAGUGAAAAAUCUAAAUGGUCAACCCCCUACAAAAUUAUGAUGAGGAGAUUGCCAAAUGUUGUCCCCAUUGUGCCUAUAAAGAUUGGAACCAACAGAAUGUUGAGCAAAAAGCUACAGCCUGUGAUUUUACAGUCAUUUAACAUUGAAGUCAAUGGGCAAAUAAUUGCUAGUCUGAUUCCUGAUGAUAUAAUGAAGCUUGGCCGACUCGGGAUGUUGAUAAUUUUUCAACGGCUUGUUUCCUGAAGUUUUGAAUGGAAAUGGUAAGAAUACUGCUUUUUUAUUGCCCAGCAGUAAGUUUUUUGACUAUUUGGUAUCAAAAUAGCCAUGAUUGGGGGUAUCCGUUGGUUGAGUGUGAAUUUUGGGUUGUAAAUGUGUAACAUUUUGUUCACAAUGAUAUCAAAACAUGGUUAGGUCUAAAUAUUAAGGCCAACUCAACUGCAGAUUUGGUCUAAAGUCACGAGAUGUAAACAAGACUGACCCUUACCCUAACCCAAGACCCAGUCCUUACCCUAACCCACAAUCUUGUCAAAAAGCAUGUAGCCUAGGCCUAAGCCAAGACCUAGUCCUGACCCUAGCCCAAACCCACAAUUGUGUCAAAAAAUCAUGUGCCCUAACCCUAUUUACAUGUUGUGACCUUGAACCAAGUCUGCAGCUGGCCUUAACAUUUAGACCUAACAUGUUUUUGACAUCAUACAAUGAAAUGUUAACAUGUACACUCCAAAAUUCACACCUGUGUGACUUUUGAUCAAACAUGCAGUUGGCCUUAAUAUUUAGACCGAACCUCAAAACAUGGCAUCUACCUUUGAGAUUGGCUUAGACUUAUGUGACACUCAUGGUGUACUUUUUUACUGACUGUUAACUGGUUUCUUUUUGGAGGGCCAGUGACGGGCUGUUCGCUAGAAAUAAAGAGGUUUAUUUCUAUUUCCAGUUGAAACCAUAUUUUUUUCUUAUUUUCUCACUGUUUUUUAUUGCAUAUUUAUCCCCAGCCUCCUAUCAUUUCAGGUGCCCGGGUAAUGUUUCAUAGAGUGGAAUGAUUGACCUCAACACAAGUAUUAAAAAAAAAAGAAGCAAAACAGGUCUACAUCUCAAAACCUGAUCUCUUCCUGGACUGGCUUUAGGAGAACGAUGAUGCAUAUCAAUUUCAUCCCUGAUCUCUAUGACACCUGUGGUGGAAGUGGAGGGCAAAUCGUAAUCAGUUUGGGUUCAAGCCCCGAGGACCUUUGUAAACUUUGCUUUUUGGUGAUGACUUAAUUUCCGAGCUUGAAAAGGACGCUUGUGUGUUUAUCAUGGCCUCUCAUAUUGGAAGAUAACAUUAAUGGCUUGUGUGUUGAUCGACGGUUGUGCAUAUCUCUUGGUCAGGAAAGUUGUAGGCACCAUCGCCAUUGUAAAUCAUUUGACAGGCCAGAGUGAACGGGGCGACCUAUGAUUGGUCAGCAAUGUAUCAGAUUCCAUACCGGGGGGUGGGGAUGAAAAAACUGUUGUAGUGUUACAUAAUCAGAUUAUUUCAACUUACUUAUCCUGUGGAAAUACAGCUAUAUAGGAGAUAUUUUGAAAUUCAUAGGCACUGCAUGUUUCAACAUUUUAGAUUUGACCACAAUUUGGCACUUGAAACUAUGUUAACAGAGAAAAACUGUGUGGUUUUCGAUGAAAGUGUUAAAAGUCUAAUAUUGCAUCAUGAUUACUGUUUUAAAGUAUUUUCGCGUUUGAUUUAUAUUGAAUUCAUCUCAUCUUUUUGAAGAAUGCAUUUAUGUUCAAAAAUAAAAAUGUUCUGUGGAAUUCAAAAUUGAUGUGCUUUUAAAUUAUCAGAUUCCAAACUGGGGGGUGGGGAUGAAAAAGCUGUUGUAGUGUUACAUAAUCAGAUUAUUUCAACUUACUUAUCCUAUGGAAAUACAGCUAUAUAGGAGAUAUUUUAAAAUUGAUAGGCACUGCAUGUUUCAACAUUUUAGAUUUGACCACAAUUUGGCACUUGAAACUACGUUAACAGAGAAAAACUGUGUGGUUUUCGAUGAAAGUGUUAAAAAGUCUAAUAUUGCAUCAUGAUUACUGUUUUAAAGUAUUUUCGUGUUAGAUUUAUAUUGAAUUUAUCUCAUCUUUUUACAGAAUGCAUUUAUGUUCAAAAAUAAAAAUGUUCUGUUUAAUUCAAAAUUCAUGUGCUUUUAAAUUUCUGUCUGAAAUUCCGCAGUUUUCUGAUGUAUUAUAGUGUUUGCAGAAUGCCGCACAGCUCAUCUGAAAAUGCAUAGAUUUUCAUAUUCUUUGGCCAGGGAAUUGCAUAUAUGUUUGUUCAUUAGAUAACAACAGAUUUGUUUAAACUGCAGAAACAUGUGAGGUAUAUAGGACUAAGACUAGUAAUUAUUUCCCCUUAUUUCAUGAUGGACGAAUGUAGUGCGAGUUAUAAAUAGACAAUUUUUCCCUUAAUUUUUUUCUCCCCUCUUCCUGCAUUUUUGGGUUGACUUUUUGGUCUAGAAUUGGAGAAAAGGGAUCAAAUUUGCAAUUUCAUAGCAGUUUUGGGUAAUACUGAUGAUAUUACAGCGGAGGGAUAGAGGGUGUAAAGUGUCUUUCUGCAGAGCAAUCAUUGUGUCGGAAGUGAGAUUUUCACCCCUGUCAACUUCAAAUCUGUGUAGUGAAAAAUCUAAAUGGUCAACCCCCUACAAAAUUAUGAUGAGGAGAUUGCCAAAUGUUGUCCCCAUUGUGCCUAUAAAGAUUGGAACCAACAGAAUGUUGAGCAAAAAGCUACAGCCUGUGAUGUUACAGUCAUUUAACAUUGAAGUCAAUGGGCAAAUAAUUGCUAGUCUGAUUCCUGAUGCUAUUUUGACCAUGUCAACAAUUUCACGUGAUACUACUAGAUUGUGAUGUAGAUUUUUAUAUUUUGUUAUAUUUCUUCAAUUUGAGAGAUUAAAGCACUUGAAGAAGAGUCCAGACUUGUUAAAUUUUUCCAAAGAAAUAAAAUUGAUUUUUUUACGUCGUACUGUUUUGCACCAACCAGGUUAAUGAAGACCCAGAGGUCUGGACAAAAUUUCUGUCAUCAUACAAAGCACACGACAGAUAUUUUACCCAGGUCUGGACAGGUACUAAGAGCAAAUGAAUUACUGAAAUAAAAUUGAACCAUAUGUUAGUCUCAAAAUGUCCUCUUUGAUUGGCAUUUAGUAAUUGAACAUAUUUAUACAAGGUACAAUUACAUUUACAUUUGCUCGAUAAAGACGACAGUAUCCUCGUCGAAAUGUCACUUAGUAUUAAACUCAUUAAUUGUGUAUCCGUAAACAUUGUACCUUGUAUUGACCUGAUAUGUUGAGUGUUUGUCGCCAUCUUUCCCUGCACAUUAAAUCCUCUUUUCCAGGUUACCCAAAUUGUUUUAUGAGACCUUCUUGUGUAACGAGGGGUCUCCAAUCUUUAUAUUGUCUAGGACAGGUAUGAAAGGGGGCAAUAAGCCAUGCAAGCAAAUUGAGCAUGUAACAAUCUAAUUAAUUUAUCAAAAACAAUGUAAAUU